rnacentral:lncRNA from 1 species
UUAGAGAGGAAAGAAGAGAAGAAGAGGCAAGGCCGAAGUCAAGAAGACAAGGCCGAAGACCUCCACUCAAGAUGAUCAUUGGUGCGGUUUAAAGAAGACCAAUGAUGGAGUUAAAUUACACUUAGACGUGUAAAGGAGGCAAUGUUGACCUGAGGAGGAGUCAGAUAAGUGAUCACAUGUUGAGAUAAGAAGGAGUUGGAUAAGUGAAUCAGCAUAUAGGACGCUUAGAGGCUGAACACCGAGAAGCGUCCGUACAGAUCAAGUUGUGCUGUGAGCUGCGGAUCAAGAUCAGACCGUUAGAAGCUGAUAAGAGACCAUACAGCUCAAGAUGCUGUUCACACUUGGUCAAGAGAGACGUUGGGAGCUGUCUCUGUCUCAUCAAAGGCUGUGUUCUCUCCUUAGUUCACAUGUGACUCUUAAGAGUGUGAACACACCAAAAGGGGACCAUCAGCUGUCACUUUCACGUGUGUGAACACAAAAAUAAGGAGACAUGUGACUUUGUCUUCCUCUUUAUUCCAGCGACAUUUUAUCUCUGUUUACAUGUAUUUACACUCGAUUAAUUCCCUAUAUAAGGGCUGUAAUAUGUAAACAAGGGAACACACUCAAUACACAAGUAUUCAUCUCUCAUUUCUCGUUCUUAUUUUCGUUUCUCUCUCUCUCUCUUUACCUUGUGUUUAAUUCAUAAACACAAUGUAGGAUUAUAGAGAUUUCGGAUUAGUGGCUGCCUUUUGGCAGUCUAAUACUUGUGAAACACUCACUAAACUCUUCUUUAUUUGCUUCUCUCAUCUAGAUUACUGAGUCUUAAAUCCGCUGCAUCUCAAGAACACAAACUCUCUAGGUGUUGUGUUCAUUGCUUAGAUUAGUCUCAAACUAGAUGCCUUCCCUUUAUAGAAUCGUUUUCUUCCUCAUAGAUUCGGUUCUACUUAUGUUUAUUGUGAGGAUUUCAUCACAAGUUGAUGGUCUCUUCUCUCUCUUGAGAUCGAGUUCUUAAUGUGGGUUAAGUGGUUCAUUCACCAAGUGAAUGCUUCCACCAUUUGUUGAGCUUUGUCUCAUAAAUCCCAACAUGGUAUCAGAGCCAUCUUUCUUGGUUCCAUCUAAAACUCGAUGCUCUUUCUGUUUCUGUUUUGUGUUCUUCACUUAGUCCAAUGACUUUUCACGAGGACAAGGGUGGAGUUCUCUUUCUGAUUUAUUUUCUCUCAUUUGUGAAAGCUUGAAUCUGGUAUUGACUUGUGACCAAAAGAACAAGCUUGACAAAAAGGGAAAUAGAUCUUUAAAAAUCUGGUGGAAAAAUUGUUUUUAACCAUCAGUGUUUGUUUUGUUUUUAAACCAUGAGAAGCACUAAGCAUUGUGUAAUUUUUGUGGUUGUUUUUAUUUAUUAAAAUUCUCAUGGGAAGCUCGUGUAAAUGGGUUUUUCCUUGAGUUAUUGUGUUAAAUUGAUGGAGAAAUUAAUUUUCCAAUCAGUUUAUUUUGUUCCAGUUCUUGAACUCCAUAGUCUUGGGAUUCUUGGUGUUCUUGGCUGGCAUUUGCUUUGGCUAAACUCAAGAAAACAGAGCAAAACUCUGUCCAUAAGAACUCUUGAGCAAAAUUUUUCUUUUCCCAUUCUCCUUGCUUCCGCUUAUUCUCUAUUCUCCAUUCUCUCAUUCUCUUUAUUCUCCCCAAUAUUCUCUUUAUUCUCCAUUAUUCUCCUUAUUCUCCAAAUUCUCUUUUAAUUUUCUGCUUAUUCUCUAUACUCUAACAAAUAUCAUCUCUUGUUUUAGAAUCUGUCCUCAAAUCUAAACAGGUUCUGGUCUUAAAAAGGAUGGUGUUUGGCUCGUUUGCUAUCUCAAGAAGAAGUGGCGAGUUUGAGAGGUCUGAAUGGGUCAUGUGAGCUGGAAGUCAGCUGGUGGCUGUUUUCAGAUCCAUUAAGGCUUCAAAGAAGCUAAAAGAAGGCGCUGCAACAAGCUUAGAAUUGAUCAAAGAGGGCCAUCAAGUUUCAGAGACCACAAGACAAGCCCAACCUAGUGUAAUCUGGCUGACUUGAAGAUGGCGGACCAAAGAGGCUGACCUGAAGAUAGCAGACCCAAGGUGGCUAAGGUGGAAGUUCAAGUGGAGAGGCAAGCUGAUGGAAGGCUAUGAAUCAAUUCCAAAGUCUUUGCGAGUGCCUUUGGUUUAAGAGUUGAAGAUCGGAUGUGCACAAGAUGUCAAGAUCUAUUUUGCACAAGGUUUCAAGGCUCAAGACAUGUUUAGUGUGCGGGGGAGCUUAAUCAGUGACCAAACCGCAUUUCAAAAUCCUCAAGUCUUCUUCAUCUCAAAAGGCUAAACUCUAAACUCUAUCCCAUUUUUUUUCUUUAAUAUGUUAACUUCAUUCUCUUAAGUUCAUUUGCGGAUUCCUUCUAUGAAUUGCUUAGUCUAUUGUGCAUCUUUAAUCCUUGAUAUUCCUCAUAGGAUUUGAAACUACUCAUUUGGUUAUUUGUUUCUUUGAUAUUCCUUAUGGCAAUACUUAAUCUUUUCUUCUUUAUCUCUUGUUUAAGGGAAAAAGGAGACCAUAAGAGCCUCAAAGAGACCAAUGAAAGCUUCAAAUGCUGGAGAGCCUCAAAGAACAUGACAAAGAACAGAUUCAUGCGAAGAGAGUUCAAGGCAAGAAGAGCUAAAAGGGAAUGGAUUCACUUGGGAGAUGGUGCCAGUUCUAAAUCUUCAAAACCAAGGCCAUAGCUACAUCAAGCAACCGUUAAACUAUACUCUUUUUCCCUUCAUAAAGUUUUAUCCCAAGUGGUUUUCUUUAUGAAGGUUUUUAAUGAGGUAGUUUGGCGUGUUGCAAGAUUGGCCUCUGGUCCUCUUUGGCGUCUCGACGACCAAGCUUGCGGGGGAGUAUUAGAGAGGAAAGAAGAGAAGAAGAGGCAAGGCCGAAGUCAAGAAGACAAGGCCGAAGACCUCCACUCAAGAUGAUCAUUGGUGCGGUUUAAAGAAGACCAAUGAUGGAGUUAAAUUACACUUAGACGUGUAAAGGAGGCAAUGUUGACCUGAGGAGGAGUCAGAUAAGUGAUCACAUGUUGAGAUAAGAAGGAGUUGGAUAAGUGAAUCAGCAUAUAGGACGCUUAGAGGCUGAACACCGAGAAGCGUCCGUACAGAUCAAGUUGUGCUGUGAGCUGCGGAUCAAGAUCAGACCGUUAGAAGCUGAUAAGAGACCAUACAGCUCAAGAUGCUGUUCACACUUGGUCAAGAGAGACGUUGGGAGCUGUCUCUGUCUCAUCAAAGGCUGUGUUCUCUCCUUAGUUCACAUGUGACUCUUAAGAGUGUGAACACACCAAAAGGGGACCAUCAGCUGUCACUUUCACGUGUGUGAACACAAAAAUAAGGAGACAUGUGACUUUGUCUUCCUCUUUAUUCCAGCGACAUUUUAUCUCUGUUUACAUGUAUUUACACUCGAUUAAUUCCCUAUAUAAGGGCUGUAAUAUGUAAAAAAGGGAACACACUCAAUACACAAGUAUUCAUCUCUCAUUUCUCGUUCUUAUUUUCGUUUCUCUCUCUCUCUCUUUAC